rnacentral:Y_RNA from 1 species
GGCUAGUCCAGAGUGCAGUUGGUAUUUACAGCUAACUGAUCACAACCAGUUACAGAUUGAUUCCUUGUUUUUCUCCACUCCCACUGUUCCCCUUAACUAGCCUUAA